rnacentral:rRNA from 1 species
CUUGAACGCUGGCGGCAGGCUUAACACAUGCAAGUCGAACGAGAGGCGGACGGGUGAGUAAUGCUUGGGAAUCUAGCUUAUGGAGGGGGCUAACUACGGGAAACUGUAGCUAAUACCGCGUACAAUAGGAUGAGCCAAAGUGGGAUUAGGUAGUUGGUGAGGUAAAGGCUCACCAAGACGAAGAUCGCUAGCUGGUCUGAGAGGAUGACCAGGCACACUGGAAUUGAGACACGGCCCAGCGUCCUACGGUAGGCAGCAGUGGGGAAUAUUGCGAAAUGGGGGAAACCUGACGCAGCCAUGCCGCUUGAAUGAAGAAGGCCUUCGGGUUGUAAAGGUCUUUCGGUAGCGAGGCGUUAACUACAGAAGAAGCACCGGCUAACUCCGUGACAGCCGCCGCGGUAAUAC